CAAUAGCGUAUAUUAAAGCUGUUGCGGUUAAAAAGCUCGUAGUUGGAUUUCUGUCAAGGACAACUGGUCCGCCCCUCGGGUGAGCACAUAGUUUGGUCUUGGCAUCUUGUUGGAAACUGUUGCUGCACUUGGUUGUGUGGCGCAGUGUCCAGCACUUUCACUUUGAGGAAAUUGGAGUGUUUCAAGCAGGCACAUGCCUUUGGACACAGUAGCAUGGAAUAAUUAGAUUGGGCUUUUGCUCCAACUUGUCGGUUCCUGGAGCUGAGGUGAGAAUUAAUGGGGAUUGUUGGGGGCAUCCGAAUUUAGCCGUCAGAGGUGAAAUUCUUGGAUCUGCUAAAGACGGACAACUGCGAAAGCGUUUGCCCAGGAUGUUUUCAUUGA
rnacentral:rRNA from 1 species